CUCAAUAGUAGCAAUAGCAAAAGUGAACAUAGAAACGACUUACCUAGACUGCUGUGUGCAAUGUGUGAGACUACAGGAUGUAUAUACUUUAAAAGUGGCUGUUUUCCAUUUUAGGGUGGUUGAGUUUGCCUCUUAUGGUGACUUAAAGAAUGCUAUUGAAAAACUUUCUGGAAAGGAAAUAAAUGGGAGAAAAAUAAAAUUAAUUGAAGGCAGCAAAAGGCACAGUAGGUCAAGAAGCAGGUCUCGAUCCCGGACCAGAAGUUCCUCUAGGUCUCGUAGCCGAUCCCGUUCCCGUAGUCGCAAAUCUUACAGCCGGUCAAGAAGCAGGAGCAGGAGCCGGAGCCGGAGCAAGUCCCGUUCUGUUAGUAGGUCUCCCGUGCCUGAGAAGAGCCAGAAACGUGGUUCUUCAAGUAGAUCUAAGUCUCCAGCAUCUGUGGAUCGCCAGAGGUCCCGGUCCCGAUCAAGGUCCAGAUCAGUUGACAGUGGCAAUUAAACUGUAAAUAACUUGCCCUGGGGGCCUUUUUUUAAAAAACAAAAACCACAAAAAUUCCCAAACCAUACUUGCUAAAAAUUCUGGUAAGUAUGUGCUUUUCUGUGGGGGUGGGAUUUGGAAGGGGGGUUGGGUUGGGCUGGAUAUCUUUGUAGAUGUGGACCACCAAGGGGUUGUUGAAAACUAAUUGUAUUAAAUGUCUUUUGAUAAGCCUUCUGCUCACAUUUUUGUGAAUGUCUGAAGUAUAUAGUUUGUGUAUAUUGACAGAGCUCUUUUAUAACUAAAGCAAAUUUAAUUUUUUUGUACUAGAAAAAAAUUUGAACAUUUUAGUUCUUGGUUAUAAAAAUGUUAAUUCAGAAUUAGUUUAAUGCCUUAAUUAAACUAAUUAAUAGCUUUGGACACUUAAAAGAGCUCUAAAUUUGCUUGUACAUAAAGGCUUAAUUUGUUUUCCUUGUUA
rnacentral:lncRNA from 1 species